ACAUCAGGGACCACAGAGGGCCAAUCAGCAUGGCGCCCCAGAAAGUGCACAUAGACUUGCUCGCAGCUGAGUGAGGAGAAAGCCCUUCUGGCUUCUUUAUACCCUUGGAAGUCUGCGUCGGUGCUAAUGAUGACUCUGUCCCUGGAGCCAGCAAGUCUCAAAUGUGUACACAAUGCUCCAAACCAGGGCUUUGAGGAGACCAUAGCAGCCUUCAAAGAGACCCACACACACUCAGGGUCCAGCAGCUCACACCGUGGAUCAAAGCACUAGUCUGAUUGCAGACCAGGAACCUUCAAAAUCCAAGGACUUUGGACUUCAGGAUCCAGAGCAAUUUAGGCCAGUGCUUGGGAGCAGAGCCUGAGACAGAGUU